rnacentral:rRNA from 1 species
UCUUGAGAGCGGCGGACGGGUGAGUAAUGCCUAGGAAUCUGCCUGGUAGUGGGGGAUAACGUUCGGAAACGAACGCUAAUACCGCAUACGUCCUACGGGAGAAAGCAGGGGACCUUCGGGCCUUGCGCUAUCAGAUGAGCCUAGGUCGGAUUAGCUAGUUGGUGAGGUAAUGGCUCACCAAGGCGACGAUCCGUAACUGGUCUGAGAGGAUGAUCAGUCACACUGGAACUGAGACACGGUCCAGACUCCUACGGGAGGCAGCAGUGGGGAAUAUUGGACAAUGGGCGAAAGCCUGAUCCAGCCAUGCCGCGUGUGUGAAGAAGGUCUUCGGAUUGUAAAGCACUUUAAGUUGGGAGGAAGGGCACUUACCUAAUACGUGAUUGUUUUGACGUUACCGACAGAAUAAGCACCGGCUAACUCUGUGCCAGCAGCCGCGGUAAUACAGAGGGUGCAAGCGUUAAUCGGAAUUACUGGGCGUAAAGCGCGCGUAGGUGGUUUGUUAAGUUGGAUGUGAAAUCCCCGGGCUCAACCUGGGAACUGCAUUCAAAACUGACUGACUAGAGUAUGGUAGANGGGUGGUGGAAUUUCCUGUGUAGCGGUGAAAUGCGUAGAUAUAGGAAGGAACACCAGUGGCGAAGGCGACCACCUGGACUAAUACUGACACUGAGGUGC